rnacentral:rRNA from 1 species
UACGAAGGGGGCUAGCGUUGCUCGGAAUCACUGGGCGUAAAGCGUCCGCAGGUGGCAGUUCAAGUCUGCUGUCAAAGACCGGGGCUUAACUUCGGAAAGGCAGUGGAAACUGAACAGCUAGAGUAUGGUAGGGGCAGAGGGAAUUCCUGGUGUAGCGGUGAAAUGCGUAGAGAUCAGGAAGAACAUCGGUGGCGAAGGCGCUCUGCUGGACCAUAACUGACACUCAGGGACGAAAGCUAGGGGAGCGAAUGGG